GGCGGUUCUCAGGUGACGCACCCUGGAAUUGGGCUCCCUCCUCUCUGGUUCCGGGUGCAUCACCUGAGAACCGCA
rfam:Myotis brandtii contig201904, whole genome shotgun sequence.